rnacentral:misc_RNA from 1 species
UCUCCGUAGGUGAACCUGCGGAGGGAUCAUUACAGAGUUCAUGCCCUACCGGGUAGAUCUCCCACCCUAUGUUAUUGUUACUUUGUUGCUUUGGCGGGCCGUUAGGCUCCGGCCCGACUACCGGCCCCGGCUGGUAAGCGCCCGCCAGAGGACCCAAAACCCUGAAUAUUAGUGUCGUCUGAGGACUAUAUAAUAGUUAAAACUUUCAACAACGGAUCUCUUGGCUCUG